rnacentral:rRNA from 1 species
CCUACGGGAGGCUGCAGUGAGGAAUAUUGGUCAAUGGGCGCGAGCCUGAACCAGCGAAGUAGCGUGAAGGAUGACUGCCCUACGGGUUGUAAGCUUCUUUUAUAGGGGAGUAAAGUGAGGCACGUGUGCCUUUUUGUCUGUACUUUAUGAAUAAGGAUCGGCUAACUCCGUGCCAGCAGCAGCGGUAAUACGGAGGAUCCGAGCGUUAUCCGGAUUUAUUGGGUUUAAAGGGAGCGUAGAUGGGUUGUUAAGUCAGUUGUGAAAGUUUGCGGCUAAACCGUAAAAUUGCAAUUGAUACUGGCCGUCUUGAGUACAGGUGAGGUAGGCGGAAUUCGUGGUGUAGCGGUGAAAUGCGUAGAUAUUACGAAGAACACCGAUGGCGAAGGCAGCUUACUAAACUGCCACUGACAUUGAGGCUCGAAAGUGUGGGGAUCAAACAGGAUUAGAUACCCCUGUAGUC